UUGAGCCGGAUGAAGGGAAACUUUCAAGUCCGGUUCUUAGGGGGGGCGGGAGCCGAGAGGCUCCCCUCCUACCCGGU
rfam:Geobacter sp. M18, complete genome.